AUUGAACGCUGGCGGCAGGCCUAACACAUGCAAGUCGAGCGGAGCGGCGGACGGGUGAGUAAUGCCUAGGAAUCUGCCUGGUAGUGGGGGAUAACGUCCGGAAACGGGCGCUAAUACCGCAUACUAUCAGAUGAGCCUAGGUCGGAUUAGCUAGUUGGGGGGGUAAAGGCCUACCAAGGCGACGAUCCGUAACUGGUCUGAGAGGAUGAUCAGUCACACUGGAACUGAGAAACGGUCCGGACUCCAGCGGGAGGAGACAGUGGGGAAUAUUGGACAAUGAGCGAAAGCCUGAUCGAGCCAUGCCGCGUAUGGGAAGAAGGUCUUCGGAUUGUAAAGCCCUUUAAGUUGGAAGGCGUUACCAACAGAAUAAGCACCGGCUAACUACGUGCCAGCAGCCGCGGUAAUUC
rnacentral:rRNA from 1 species